rnacentral:rRNA from 1 species
GAUGAACGCUGGCGGCGUGCCUAAUACAUGCAAGUCGAGCGAACAGACGAGGAGCUUGCUCCUCUGACGUUAGCGGCGGACGGGUGAGUAACACGUGGAUAACCUACCUAUAAGACUGGGAUAACUUCGGGAAACCGGAGCUAAUACCGGAUAAUAUAUUGAACCGCAUGGUUCAAUAGUGAAAGACGGUUUUGCUGUCACUUAUAGAUGGAUCCGCGCCGCAUUAGCUAGUUGGUAAGGUAACGGCUUACCAAGGCGACGAUGCGUAGCCGACCUGAGAGGGUGAUCGGCCACCCUGGAACUGAGACACGGUCCAGACUCCUACGGGAGGCCGCGGUAGGGAAUCUUCCGCAAUGGGCGAAUGCCUGACGGAGCACCGCCGCGUGAGUGAUGAAGGUCUUCGGAUCGUAAAACUCUGUUAUUAGGGAAGAACAAAUGUGUAAGUAACUAUGCACGUCUUGACGGUACCUAAUCAGAAAGCCACGGCUAACUACGUG